rnacentral:rRNA from 1 species
UACGGAGGGUGCAAGCAUUGAUCGGAAUUACUGGGCGUAAAGGGCGCGUAGGCGGCUUUUUAAGUCAGAUGUGAAAUUCCGGGGCUCAACCCCGGAGCUGCAUUUGAAACUGAAGAGCUAGUGGCUAGUAAGGGAAAACAGAAUUCCACGUGUAGCGGUGAAAUGCGUAGAUAUGUGGAAGAAUACCGGUGGUGAAGACGGUUUUCUGUGCUAAGCCAGACGCUGAGGCGCGAAAGCUAGGGGAGCAAACAGG